CAGAGUCCUCUACUCCUCAGGCUCAUCUCCUCUAUCCUCACCCUGUUGAGGAAAUCGAAGUAGGACACCUCCACACUGUACAUGAGGGAUGGGAUGUGGCUCAUCUGCUUCGUUAUCUUCUCCACAACCUGAAACAGGAAUACCACCGGUAAGAGCUCAUAUAAUCUCGCUUUGGAUUAUUACGGCAGUGGGUUUAUCGGGGCUCCACUGACUUGUUCUGCGUUGGUGCCUUUCGCUUGGAAGUCAUGGACAGCAAACUCGAUGCAGUAGUAGACCUUAUGGAACUCGGGCACGAAGCCCAGGUGAGCCGGGAAGGCAAUGGAGGUGCCGAGGAGGGACAGCUGGUUUGGAACUAUGAACCCCUCGAGAUAGUCCACCAAGUCCGGCAU
rnacentral:lncRNA from 1 species